GGGAGCGAAAGGGAGAAGAGAGAAGCUGCAGAGGGAACAUGGAGGUGGUUGUUAAGAUUCCUCUCUGCACCUGUACAAGUUGUUAUGAACAUUCUUAAGUGGUGGAUGUGAACAGGACUUUGUGUGUCUAGAUGAGCAUUUUCUGCCCAAACAACCGUUCCCUGCUUGGUGAAACGUUUGUUGAGCUUCUAUUUUAGCACACAACGUCAUAGAGAAUGUUUGUUUGAAGAAACGGAGCAUAUUCGAAAGACAAAUCUUGUAUGGGCGUCCUAAUUGCUGAGCAUCUUACCGUCCAUAGCCCUGCUCUCUGCACAGGGAAGAAGAAUUUCCAUCUUAAAAAUUUUAUUAACAUUCAUACAGAAAAUUAGGAUUCUCGGGGUCAUAACUUUACCGUUCUGGCCGUGUGACAGGUGUCCAGCUGUCCUUGGUGCACGAGUUUUCCUUUACUGCCUGUGGGGAUGUGGAUGGACGGUAAGCUCCAAGGACGUGCAGUAAACACUGGCAGGAGUGUUUCUCAGCCAACCCAGCACGAGGAGAAAAGUGCUGGGAAAAGAGACAAUUCCUUUUGAAAGAUGGAUAAGCUACACUUAGAAAUUUCCAUUACUGAUGAAAAAAACUAAUUGCUUUUCUCUCUCCUAAAAACCAAAAUUCCUUCAGCUCUUGAAGGAGAAAAUUCUUCAUGUAGUCUACUUAGAGUGUUUUUUCCUCGAAACUAUAGAGAACCCUGGACACCCAAAGCAACCUUCUGAGAAGAUACACUGCUGAUGUGUUGAAGAGAAAAGUCAGGCCGGAGAGAUGACUUUACUAAGCUUGCUGUGCAAACCUGAGGCCCUGGAGAUAUUUAUUAUGACAUAUUAAAAACACAUUGUGGGAUGUUUGGACUGAAGAUUAAAAGCAAGAAACUCAGAUCCCUCCAAGUGACUGCUCUUCAUGACAAGCUAUUAUGGAAAAAAUAUAGGCUUUGAUAUAAAUCCAAGAUUUUAGAGUUAUUAAUUGAAUUAUAGGAGGAAGACAUUUAGUUUUCCCCGGUCUCCAUGUCCUUAUCUGUAAGCCAAAGCUAAAAGUAACACACACCUUGUGAUAUUGGGAGAAUCAAUUUAACUCAUACACGAAAGCACUUUGUAAAAUUUGAAGUCAAAUAAAAAAUUAUCGUUAGAAAAAAAUACACAGCACUGUCCAUUCAUCAACGUGGAAACAAUACACUGCUGAGUCCAUGGUACCAACCUUUCAGAUGCAAAGUACUUGCCAGACUCACU
rnacentral:sRNA from 1 species